rnacentral:rRNA from 1 species
GACGAACGCUGGCGGCGUGCUUAACACAUGCAAGUCGAACGGAAAGGCCCUGCUUGCAGGGUACUCGAGUGGCGAACGGGUGAGUAACACGUGGGUGAUCUGCCCCGCACUUCGGGAUAAGCCUGGGAAACUGGGUCUAAUACCGGAUAGGAGCCAUUUUUAGUGUGAUGGUUGGAAAGUUUUUUCGGUGUAGGAUGAGCUCGCGGCCUAUCAGCUUGUUGGUGGGGUAAUGGCCUACCAAGGCGGCGACGGGUAGCCGGCCUGAGAGGGUGGACGGCCACAUUGGGACUGAGAUACGGCCCAGACUCCUACGGGAGGCAGCAGUGGGGAAUAUUGCACAAUGGGCGCAAGCCUGAUGCAGCGACGCCGCGUGGGGGAUGACGGCCUUCGGGUUGUAAACUCCUUUCGCUAGGGACGAAGCUUUUGUGACGGUACCUAGAGAAGAAGCACCGGCUAACUACGUG